GCAUGGUUGGGCCCUCCCCCUCUCAACAGAUCAAGAGGUGAAGGGAGAGGUGAAGGGAGGCUCUGCUCAGCUGUGAGGCAACAGAAGGCAGGAUCGGUGCUGACCUCCGCCAUGGCCUGGUCCCCUCUCCUCCUCACCCUCCUCGCUCACUGCACAGGGAUUUGGGCUCAGUCGGGGCCGAAUCAACCAUCCUCAGUGUCUGGGGCCCUGGGCCAGAGGGUCACUAUCUCCUGCACUGGAGUUGAUAGUUACGUUGGUUGGUACCAACAAAUCCCAGGAAUGGCCCCCAAAACCAUCAUCUAUAAUAAUAACAACCGACCCUCCGGGGUCCCUGACCGAUUCUCCGGCUCCAAGUCUGGCAGCACAGGCACCCUGACCAUCACGGGGCUCCAAGCCGAGGACGAGGCUGAUUAUUACUGCCAAUCGUGGUACAGCAGUGGCACAGCUUACACAGUGGUCCAGGCCUGUGGGGAAGGGGCACUGUCGGCCUCCCCAGGAAGAGCACACUGGGGGCCCCCUGCUGUGUACCCUACAACCCCCUUAGGGCGCCCACACUUUGCCUAUGUGUGCUAG